UACGUAGGGGGCGAGCGUUGUCCGGAGUUACUGGGCGUAAGGGGCACGCAGGCGGUGCGGCGCGUUUCGCGUGACAGCGGAGGGCUUAACUCUCCGAGGAUGCGAAAGACGGCGGCACUUGAGGGCCAGAGAGGGACACGGAAUUCCGGGUGGAGUGGUGAAAUGCGUAGAGAUCCGGAGGAACACCGAAGGCGAAGGCAGUGUCCUGGCUGGUGACUGACGCUGAGGUGCGAAAGCUAGGGGAGCGAACGGG
rnacentral:rRNA from 1 species